CCGUCAAUUCAUUUGAGUUUCAGCCUUGCGGCCGUACUCCCCAGGCGGAGUGCUUAAUGCGUUAGCUUCAGCACUGAGGGGCGGAAACCCCCCAACACCUAGCACUCAUCGUUUACGGCGUGGACUACCAGGGUAUCUAAUCCUGUUUGCUCCCCACGCUUUCGCGCCUCAGCGUCAGUUACAGACCAAAGAGUCGCCUUCGCCACUGGUGUUCCUCCACAUCUCUACGCAUUUCACCGCUACACAUGGAAUUCCACUCUUCUCUUCUGUACUCAAGCCUUCCAGUUUCCAAUGACCCUCCCCGGUUGAGCCGGGGGCUUUCACAUCAGACUUAAAAGGCCGCCUGCGCGCGCUUUACGCCCAAUAAUUCCGGACAACGCUUGCCACCUACGUAUUACCG
rnacentral:misc_RNA from 1 species